rnacentral:rRNA from 1 species
CUAUGCGCCUUGCCAGCCCGCUCAGGUGUGCCAGCAGCCGCGGUAAUACGUAGGGGGCGAGCGUUAUCCGGAUUCACUGGGUGUAAAGGGAGCGUAGGCGGUUUAGCAAGUCAGAAGUGAAAGCCCGGGGCUCAACUCCGGGACUGCUUUUGAAACUGUUGAACUAGAUUGCAGGAGAGGUAAGUGGAAUUCCUAGUGUAGCGGUGAAAUGCGUAGAUAUUAGGAGGAACACCAGUGGCGAAGGCGGCUUACUGGACUGUAAAUGACGCUGAGGCUCGAAAGCGUGGGGAGCAAACAGG